AGCGAACGCUGGCGGCAGGCUUAACACAUGCAAGUCGAACGCACCCUUCGGGGUGAGUGGCAGACGGGUGAGUAACGCGUGGGAACAUGCCCUUUGGUUCGGAAUAACUCAGGGAAACUUGAGCUAAUACCGGAUAAGCCCCUUGGGGGAAAGAUUUAUCGCCGAAGGAUUGGCCCGCGUCCGAUUAGCUAGUUGGUGAGGUAAUGGCUCACCAAGGCGACGAUCGGUAGCUGGUCUGAGAGGAUGAUCAGCCACACUGGGACUGAGACACGGCCCAGACUCCUACGGGAGGCAGCAGUGGGGAAUAUUGGACAAUGGGCGCAAGCCUGAUCCAGCCAUGCCGCGUGAGUGAUGAAGGCCUUAGGGUUGUAAAGCUCUUUCGGCGGGGACGAUAAUGACGGUACCCGCAGAAGAAGCCCCGGCUAACUUCGUGCCAGC
rnacentral:rRNA from 1 species